UCGAGACAGCGCGGGGCGGCGGAGGGAGGGCGAGUGGGCGGGAGUGCGCGUGCGCGCCCACACGAAGGCGGUGGCGGGAGGUCCCUUUGUGACGUCCCUGGAGGUCUGAGACUGGCGGGCGCGACUGGGAUGGGGGCCUGAGCUGAUGCUCUGCUUCUGUCACCUCCCAGCCCGCUGGGCACGGCCCGCCCCAGUGCUCCCCCAGCAGAGCGUGGACCCCUAAGGACGUCUCCCGGCGCGAAGGCACAGGAUGGGCCGGAUGCCGCUGUAGAGCCGGGGGCCCUCGCGACAGGCCCCGGGAAGCCCCGAUGCUGAUGCCAAGGCCUAGGAUGCCCCCCCAGGCAGCCUCCUUGGGCAGGACUGUGGGGGCACCUGUAUGUUUAAGGCCACAUCUUCCCCGAAGAUCCGACUGCAGGGCCCUGGAGUAAACUCGAAGGCGGAUCCUAGGAGCCCUGCCCCGUCCCUCCAGUGUUCUGGCUUUCCAGCAGUUCCCAGGAAAGAUCACGCACAGAUCAAGCCUUCACACCUGACAUCCCGUCUUUAUGAGCUACGUGAGUUUGAGCACCUUUGUGCGCCAUGCGUUUAACAUCUUCACCUGCAUGAUGAGGGAAUGAUGAGGGGGUGUAAAAUGAGAUACAAAGGACUGUCAAAUCACAUUAAACUGUGGCAUUUUAUGAAAACAUGUUAGCAUGCAAAAAAUGGAGAAAGACUAGAUAUCAUCUGCUCUUAAAUAAAACACUGAGGUGUUA